GCAUUUGUAGUCCAACGGUUAGGAUAAUUGCAUUCCAAGAAAUAGGCUCGGGUUCAACUCUCGGCAAACGCA
rnacentral:tRNA from 1 species